rnacentral:tRNA from 1 species
UCCCCUGUGGUGUAAUGGGCAACACGAUUCACUUUGGAUGAAUUGUUCCAGGUUCGAGUCCUGGCAGGGGAG